CAUGUGGACUGAAGUUUUUGACUCCAGUCAUAAAAACCAGUCUCAACCCUUAUCUGAUCUGAAAAAUCAGAAAGAUCUGGAGACAGAGGAAGAAAAUGGUGUAAUUGGUCAUAAUCUCAUUCCAGAUCUCUGAGUGAAGUUGCAGAAAUGUGACAAUUUAUGUGUUGAUUCAAUGGGGCAGCAACAGUGGAGAUGAGAGCGGAUCUGUGUUUAGAGAGCUGGAGCGCAGAAUUCAUCAAUCUUGUGGAUGGACUGCAGCAAGUCCUUUUGCAGUUGUACUCAUCAAAGUGCUAUGCAGACAUAAUGGGAAUGACUGCCACAUUGUAGAGCUUGGACAAAGUUCACACAGGUUCUGAGCAGGGAUUCAUCAAGGACAUGACUGAUGGAAUUAUAGCUGUGGGUGGCCAAAGUGAGCACCAUCAAUCUGCAGUGGUGUGGUCUUGGUAAUAGAAGAAGAAAUCUUGGUGAUCUGGGGUUGUAUCAUGUUGUGGGGUUGUGUACUGCGUUAGACUAUCUGGGACUUGUCACAGCACUUAAAGGCAA